rnacentral:rRNA from 1 species
UACAGAGGUCCCAAGCGUUGUUCGGAUUCACUGGGCGUAAAGGGUGCGUAGGUGGCGAGGUAAGUCGGAUGUGAAAGCUCGGAGCUCAACUCCGAAAUGGCAUUGGAAACUACCUUGCUCGAGGGUUGGAGGGGGACUGGAAUGCUUGGUGUAGCAGUGAAAUGCGUAGAUAUCAAGCGGAACACCAGUGGCGAAGGCGGGUCUCUGGACAGUUCCUGACACUGAGGCACGAAGGCCAGGGGAGCAAACGGG